rnacentral:rRNA from 1 species
UACGGGGGGGCAAGCGUUGUUCGGAAUUACUGGGCGUAAAGGGCUCGUAGGCGGCCAACUAAGUCGGAUGUGAAAUCCCCAGGCUUAACCUGGGAACUGCAUCCGAUACUGGAUGGCUUGAAUCCGGGAGAGGGAUGCGGAAUUCCAGGUGUAGCGGUGAAAUGCGUAGAUAUCUGGAGGAACACCGGUGGCGAAGGCAGCCCCCUGGGCUAACACUGACGCUCAUGCACGAAAGCGUGGGGAGCAAACAG